rnacentral:rRNA from 1 species
UACGAAGGGGGCUAGCGUUGCUCGGAAUUACUGGGCGUAAAGCGCACGUAGGCGGCUUCUUAAGUCGGUGGUGAAAUCCUGGAGCUCAACUCCAGAACUGCCUUCGAUACUGGGAGCUCGAGUCCGGGAGAGGUGAGUGGAACUGCGAGUGUAGAGGUGAAAUUCGUAGAUAUUCGCAAGAACACCAGUGGCGAAGGCGGCUCACUGGCCCGGUACUGACGCUGAGGUGCGAAAGCGUGGGAGCAACAGG